CCUACGGGAGGCAGCAGUCGGGAAUUUUGGGCAAUGGGCGAAAGCCUGACCCAGCAACGCCGCGUGAAGGAUGAAAUCCCUCGGGAUGUAAACUUCGCAAGAACGGGAAGAAUAAGUGAGGGUUAAUAUCUCUCGCGAUGACGGUACCGUUUGUAAGCUCCGGCUAACUCCGUGCCAGCAGCCGCGGUAAUACGGGGGGAGCAAGCGUUGUUCGGAUUUACUGGGCGUAAAGGGCGCGUAGGCGGCCAGCGCAAGUCAGUUGUGAAAUCUCCGAGCUUAACUCGGAAAGGUCAACUGAUACUGCGCGGCUAGAGUGCGGAAGGGGCAACUGGAAUUCUCGGUGUAGCGGUGAAAUGCGUAGAUAUCGAGAGGAACACCUGCGGCGAAGGCGGGUUGCUGGGCCGACACUGACGCUGAGGCGCGAAAGCUAGGGGAGCGAACGGGAUUAGAUACCCCGGUAGUCCUAGCCUUAAACGAUGAAUGCUUGGUGUCUGGGGUUAUAUAGUCCCCGGGUGCCGUCGCUAACGCUUUAAGCAUUCCGCCUGGGGAGUACGGUCGCAAGACUGAAACUCAAAGGAAUUGACGGGGACCCGCACAAGCGGUGGAGCAUGUGGUUUAAUUCGACGCAACGCGAGGAACCUUACCCAGGCUUGAACUGCAGGUGACAUCCUACGAAAGUAGGCUUCCGCAAGGACACCUGUAGAGGUGCUGCAUGGCUGUCGUUCAGCU
rnacentral:rRNA from 1 species